CGUGUAGGCGGUCAGGUAAGUGGAAUGUGAAAUGCCCCGGCUCACCCGGGGACCGGCAUCCCAAACUGCCUGGCUUGAGUAUGGGAGAGGAUGGAGGAAUUCCUGGUGUAGCGGUGAAAUGCGUAGAUAUCAGGAGGAACACCGGUGGCGAAGGCGUCCAUCUGGCCCAAUACUGACGCUGAGGCGCGAAAGCUAGGGGAGCAAAUG
rnacentral:rRNA from 1 species